AACCAUUCUCACCUGCGGCUAGACCUGCGGAGGGAUCAUUACCGAGUUUACAACUCCCAAACCCCUGUGAACAUACCACUCGUUGCCUCGGCGGAUCACCGCGCCCCGUGAAACGGGCCGGCCCGCCAGAGGACCUAAACUCAAAUGUUUUAUUGUAUCUUCUGAGUAAAAACACAAAUAAAUCAAAACUUUCAACAACGGAUCU
rnacentral:misc_RNA from 1 species